rnacentral:rRNA from 1 species
AACCAAGAAAUUAAAUUAUAUCAAAUCGGUAAAAAUAUAGUUAAGCAUCAUAAUCAAUUUAGCGCUUCUUGACUAUUUAUAAAAAAGUAAAAUUUAAAUAUAAAUAAAUAAUCCAAUAGCAGCCAAGUUAUGCUGAAUCUAUGAUAGCCUUGAGGGAAACUGGGAUUAGAUACCCCACUAUUCUUGGCUGUAAACUAAUAAUACUUACCAGGGUACUACGAAUUCCAAAAUUUAAAACUCAAAGAGCUUGGCGGUGUUUUAGACCUCUCAGGGGAACCUGUCUCAUAAUCGAUAAUCCACGUCACACCUAACCUCUAUUUGCAAUCAACCUGUAUACCGUUGUCGUCAGGUAACUUUUUAGAAACUAGAAGUUAGCUAGAAGUCUUAAACUAUAACGUCAAAUCAAGGUGCAGUCAAUAUAGAGGCGAAGAUGGGUUACAAUUAUAUAAUCAUAAUACGCGUAAUUAUAUAAAUAUAUAACUAUUAAGGCGGACUUGAAAGUAAACUAAAUUAUAUAAACAACUUGAAUUAGGCUCUGAAAUGUGU